AUUGAACGCUGGCGGCAUGCCUUACACAUGCAAGUCGAACGGCAGCACGGGUGCUUGCACCUGGUGGCGAGUGGCGAACGGGUGGGUAAUACAUCGGAACAUGUCCUGAAGUGGGGGAUAGCCCGGCGAAAGCCGGAUUAAUACCGCAUACGAUCUACGGAUGAAAGCGGGGGACCUUCGGGCCUCGCGCUAUAGGGUUGGCCGAUGGCUGAUUAGCUAGUUGGUGGGGUAAAGGCCUACCAAGGCGACGAUCAGUAGCUGGUCUGAGAGGACGACCAGCCACACUGGGACUGAGACACGGCCCAGACUCCUACGGGAGGCAGCAGUGGGGAAUUUUGGACAAUGGGCGAAAGCCUGAUCCAGCAAUGCCGCGUGUGUGAAGAAGGCCUUCGGGUUGUAAAGCACUUUUGUCCGGAAAGAAAUCCUUGGCCCUAAUACGGUCGGGGGAUGACGGUACCGGAAGAAUAAGCACCGGCUAACUACGUG
rnacentral:rRNA from 1 species